UUGAGAAAUCAGCAUUGUUGCGGACAGCAUUGAUACAGUCGUUCAAAUUCAUUCCAAGAUGAGAUUGUUGUCAUUCUUAUUUUUAGUCAUUGUGUGUGGUCUAUACGUGGUUGCCUUCAAAGCUGAGGCAGCUGCGGUUCCAGACCAAAACACAGAUCUACAACACCCAGACCCAAACUCAGACCAAAAGCCAGAACAACUGCCAGACAUGGACCAAAAUUUAGACACUGAUUCCACUGUUAAUCCCGAUGAUGCGAACAAUGUCAAACGUAAUUAUUAUAAAUUAUGUGAUUGGUGACGGGUAGAGCGAGUGCGUUAUUUUUAAAUUCAAUAAAUUAUUGUGUGAAUCAUCGCGCAUCAUGUAUUCAAGCUAA